AAGGAUCAUUAAAGAGUUUUAUGGGGUGAGUAGCCUUUUAUAGGUGGGGGUGUUAGGGUGAAGCCAUAUUAUGUGGCCGAGAUCCCUAAUCACCAUGCUAUUAAGGUAAUCACAACCUAUGCGUAUGUUGUGUUUGACUGUGUAAUAAGUGACUAAGAGACAGAGACAACUUUUAACAAUGGAUCUCUUGGCUCUC
rnacentral:misc_RNA from 1 species